rnacentral:rRNA from 1 species
UACGAAGGGGGCUAGCGUUGCUCGGAAUCACUGGGCGUAAAGGGCGCGUAGGCGGGUCUUUAAGUCAGGGGUGAAAUCCUGGAGCUCAACUCCAGAACUGCCUUUGAUACUGGGGAUCUCGAGUCCGGGAGAGGUGAGUGGAACUCCGAGUGUAGAGGUGAAAUUCGUAGAUAUUCGGAAGAACACCAGUGGCGAAGGCGGCUCACUGGCCCGGUACUGACGCUGAGGUGCGAAAGCGUGGGGAGCAAACAGG